GAUGAACGCUGGCGGCGUGCCUAAUACAUGCAAGUCGAGCGAACGGACGAGAAGCUUGCUUUUCUGAUGUUAGCGGCGGACGGGUGAGUAACACGUGGAUAACCUACCUAUAAGACUGGGAUAACUUCGGGAAACCGGAGCUAAUACCGGAUAAUAUUUUGAACCGCAUGGUUCAUAAGUGAAAGACGGUCUUGCUGUCACUUAUAGAUGGAUCCGCGCUGCAUUAGCUAGUUGGUAAGGUAACGGCUUACCAAGGCAACGAUGCAUAGCCGACCUGAGAGGGUGAUCGGCCACACUGGAACUGAGACACGAUCCAGACUCCUACGGGAGGCAGCAGUAGGGAAUCUUCCGCAAUGGGCGAAAGCCUGACGGAGCAACGCCGCGUGAGUGAUGAAGGUCUUCGGAUCGUAAAACUCUGUUAUUAGGGAAGAACAUAUGUGUAAGUAACUGUGCACAUCUUGACGGUACCUAAUCAGAAAGCCACGGCUAACUACGUG
rnacentral:rRNA from 1 species